AUGUGGAGCACAGAGCUCACUAGCUUGCUGCUAGCUCUUGCUUUCCCACUCAGCAUUCCGUUUCCUGAGCAGUGUUUCUACCUCUCAUCUGUGUUUCACCCCUUGCUUCUACUUUUUGUUAAUGAAAUGGUUGUUUUGUUAUGUUCCUGCAGCUGGCAGUAUGAGGGCACUGUGCAAGAGGAUACACUGAGACAUCCAGAUGAGCAUCGCCAGACUGAGGAAGAGCUCUCAGGUUGCAAUUCAACCAAGAGCCACAUGGACACCCUCCCAGCUGGCAUCCCCAGGCAGCACCAUGCUGCCCUUGGUGCUGGCUGCCUCCUGGACUCCAAGGACCAGCUCCUGGCUUACAGCUGGGCAGGCUCCCACUCAGAGCUGCUGCAUCGGGUAGGCUCACUGGCAGCAGCACUCACCUGCACCUAAGUGCACAAGGUCUAGAUGCCUGCUAGACCUGGUUGGCCCUGGCAGGAGGCAGGAUGGAUGAGUGUCAGCCUUUGUCUGCAGGCAGGUGCAUUGUGGUCACACUGAUGGAGAGAGUGAGGAAGGGUGUGUACAGGUUUGGAGGGAGUAUAGCGAGGGUGUGUUCCACACUGAGUGUGCUGAUUCAGUUGCAUAAAUGCUGCCAGACUGCUGCUUUCACAGAGAUUCCCUCCCAGAGGUGUUCUCUGGAGAGAGGGUGAUGGAGAAGCUGACCAUCCCUUCCUGAGGUCAGGACUCUCUCCUUAUCCAGCAGUGGUGCAGAUGGAGUGGCAGCAGCAGCAACAUUCUCCCUGGAAGUGGGUUCAUUUUGUCACAUAGAAAUGUGUCGUCUUUCUUUCUGGGGCCUGCCAGGGGUCACCCCUGCUUGGUGCAGCACAUGAUCUCAUGCAUUUUCUGUAAAAGCUCUCUGCUAUCAUCAGCAUUAACAGCUGGGAGAUGCAAAGUGCUCUAGGUUUGCCACGAAGUGUAGUGCAAGUGUGGGAGCUGAUGAAUCUGUUCCCCAAGGGAGAGACUGUAGAGCUGCUCAUUUACCUUUGUUAGGCAGCAAACAGAUUGUCUGGGCACAGCCAUACCGUGGUGAAGAGUUGAAGGGCCCCAGCAGUGCCUGCUGACAGCUCCAGCUCAACAGGGGGGUGGAUCCAAACCAUGGAUCCAGAGCAGUGCUUGUGGUGCAAUCCCUGGGAUGCGCUCUUGACGCAUGGAAUGAACUCUGCCAUGCAAUGGCUUGCCAAGGUAUCUCCUGCAACUCAUUACCCAAAGGAGAGGUACCACAUACUUAUGUAUGUGGUCCUGUCUGAUCUGUAAGAUGCCACCGCAAUCAUUAUGACUUUUUUUUUUCUCUUGUUUUUUUUUGCUCAGAAUGUGUGAACGUGCUCAAUUCAAGGCUAAGCUUUCCAUUAAGUCACAUAAGUCCGACAAAGAGUUUAAAUGAGCACGGAAAGUAAAUGGUCACCAGCCUUAACCAAAAAGCCUGAGGCCAUGCAGAUUCUCUUCCCAGUCCGUGCAGAUCAGCUCCCAGUGGUGCUGGGUUGGUGAGUGCGGGUCUGGUAGCAGCGUGGUUGUCCUUGGAGCCCAUCUCGUGCUGCUCCCAUUGCCAUUCCUUGUGAAUGCUCUGCGUUUGCCAGAGGGCUGCAAAUGAGAGGGCUGCUGCGUGGUGUUUCAUCACAUCCACACAUCUUGGUGUCCCCACGGUGUGAGCUUGGCUGGUGUGGCCUUGGGGCUCCUCCUGAGGCAGCGCAGGUCUAAAAACACUGAUGAAAAGCUGAUUAAUCCUUGUAAGCGAGCAGCGAUAGCUUCUCUCCAGAACUGAAGAGAUUACCACUGAUUUGUCAUCCUGAUUGUUUCAAAGAGAGGUGCAAUUAGUUGCUCUAAUUUAGCUUCGCUGCUGCUCGCUGAGUGGCAUGACAACUGAGAUGUAAUCAGGAGCUCCGCACACAACGCAGCCACCGAUGGGUGCAGCUGUGCCUGCCACCAUUUCGCACACCAAGGGUGGGCCCAAAAUGGUGGAGCACUGUGUGCUCGUACCCCUCCAACUGCAUUGGGCCAAGUGUGUGUGCUCUACUCUGAGACCUGCAGGGCUUCCUAUGGAGUAGGCUCUAAGCCACGGGGUUGUGGCUGAGCGCCCUGGAGGAUGCUUUGCCUGGUGCAAUAAAAUUAAUACUAGCUAUAGGAGAAGGUGCGUG
ensembl:lncRNA